GUGAAUCAUCAAAUUUUUGAACGCAAAUUGCACUCUCUGGUAUUCCGGAGAGUAUGCCUGUUUCAGGGUCAGUUUAAAUCAAACUCGGUGUGGUUGCUGCCUUUCGUGGUGACGCACCGGAUUUGGGUCGUCUUGCCUUCGGUUAAGUUACCUUUAAUCUUGCAUGAACUUUUCGAACUUAUUUAAAU
rnacentral:misc_RNA from 1 species